AUUGAACGCUGGCGGCAUGCUUUACACAUGCAAGUCGAACGGCAGCACGGGUGCUUGCACCUGGUGGCGAGUGGCGAACGGGUGAGUAAUGCGUCGGAACGUGCCCAUGAGUGGGGGAUAGCCCGGCGAAAGCCGGAUUAAUACCGCAUACGCCCUUAGGGGGAAAGCGGGGGAUCUUCGGACCUCGCGCUAUUGGAGCGGCCGAUGUCGGAUUAGCUAGUAGGUGAGGUAAAGGCUCACCUAGGCGACGAUCCGUAGCUGGUCUGAGAGGAUGAUCAGCCACACUGGGACUGAGACACGGCCCAGACUCCUACGGGAGGCAGCAGUGGGGAAUUUUGGACAAUGGGCGCAAGCCUGAUCCAGCCAUGCCGCGUGAGUGAAGAAGGCCU
rnacentral:rRNA from 1 species